ACCCGCCCCGGCCUCGCCGCCCCCGCCGCCCGCGCCCGGCCCGGCUCUUACCGCGGGGUCAACCGGGAGGCGGCGGCCGGAGCGCUCGCGCUGCCGCUGGUCCGCUCUGGGCUCGGCGCCAGCCCGGCCGCCGGUGCACAGUCGCGCGGGGCCCGGCCCGGCGGCCCGGUCGGCGGUGGACGCUGGUGCGCGGCGGGCGAGGGUCCCGGCAGGUCCCGCCGCCGCGACUGGGGCGCCGCGCCGCCGUUGCUGCAGACGGUUAUGGUAAUGAGCGGCUCUGUCUAGCGAGGAGCGUGUGAAACCCGUCAAUCCUGUUUGCCAUUUCCCCGUGGAUUUCCGAGGAGAGGUUCUGCAGGAUGCCCCCAGGCAAACGGAGAUGAGAAACAGAUGUCUUUGCAGGACGAAGCCGUUAUUCUCCCCUCGCCGCCGCCCCCGCCCGUUCCCCUCUGGAGCUGCAUUAUGUAUAAAAAAGCAACAUUGGUCCUACUGCAACCUGAAUUGGCAACUCUUUCUGGGUGGGGAGCCCCAAGGGAAUACCUCCAGGAAAUAAAAAAGCAAUAAAGGACGUUGUCCUUGGUCAAGGGAAUGUAAUUUAAGCCCUGGAAUCACAUUAUUUUGCAAAUAGCAAUUUUCCCCUAUAUUAGGCUCAAUUGGAGUUUGUUUUUUGAAACAUUAAUUCAUAACUUCUGUCUAGGGACUCCUCCAUAGCCGAGAUGGGUCAUUUCAGGUGUAAUGAACACAGGCUUGGAAGGCAUAGACCUAAUAAAAUCCGGGUGAUCCUCCGACUGUGAAAAACCAAACCUCUUGCUGCCUGGCUCCCUAGGAAUCAAGGAGAGGCACAGACUGAAAAUCAGGGAGGAAAGGAGUAAGAUCAAGGACGGGGAUUAGCAUCUGCAAA